rnacentral:piRNA from 1 species
UAAAGUCAUGAUCUUGGAAUACGUUUC